rnacentral:rRNA from 1 species
CCUACGGGAGGCAGCAGUAGGGAAUAUUGCUCAAUGGGGGAAACCCUGAAGCAGCCACGCCGCGUGGAGGAUGAAGGUUUUCGGAUUGUAAAAUCCUUUUGUUAGAGAAGAUAAUGACGGUAUCUAACGAAUAAGCAACGGCUAACUCCGUGCCAGCAGCCGCGGUAAUACGUAGGGUGCAAGCGUUACUCGGAAUCACUGGGCGUAAAGAGCGCGUAGGCGGGAUAGCAAGUCAGAUGUGAAAUCCUAGGGCUUAACCAUAGAACUGCAUUUGAAACUGUUAUUCUAGAGUAUGGGAGAGGGAGGUGGAAUUCGUGGUGUAGGGGUAAAAUACGUAGAGAUCAAGAGGAAUACUGAUUGCGAAGGCGACCUGCUAGAACAUAACUGACGCUGAUGCGCGAAAGCGUGGGGAGCAAACAGGAUUAGAUACCCGUGUAGUC